rnacentral:rRNA from 1 species
GGGUUGUGAGGUUAAGCGACUAAGCGUACACGGUGGAUGCCCUGGCAGUCAGAGGCGAUGAAGGACGUGCUAAUCUGCGAUAAGCGUCGGUAAGGUGAUAUGAACCGUUAUAACCGGCGAUUUCCGAAUGGGGAAACCCAGUGUGAUUCGUCACACUAUCAUUAACUGAAUCCAUAGGUUAAUGAGGCGAACCGGGGGAACUGAAACAUCUAAGUACCCCGAGGAAAAGAAAUCAACCGAGAUUCCCCCAGUAGCGGCGAGCGAACGGGGAGCAGCCCAGAGCCUGAAUCAGUGUGUGUGUUAGUGGAAGCGUCUGGAAAGGCGCGCGAUACAGGGUGACAGCCCCGUACACAAAAAUGCACAUACUGUGAGCUCGAUGAGUAGGGCGGGACACGUGGUAUCCUGUCUGAAUAUGGGGGGACCAUCCUCCAAGGCUAAAUACUCCUGACUGACCGAUAGUGAACCAGUACCGUGAGGGAAAGGCGAAAAGAACCCCGGCGAGGGGAGUGAAAAAGAACCUGAAACCGUGUACGUACAAGCAGUGGGAGCACGCUUAGGCGUGUGACUGCGUACCUUUUGUAUAAUGGGUCAGCGACUUAUAUUCUGUAGCAAGGUUAACCGAAUAGGGGAGCCGAAGGGAAACCGAGUCUUAACUGGGCGUUAAGUUGCAGGGUAUAGACCCGAAACCCGGUGAUCUAGCCAUGGGCAGGUUGAAGGUUGGGUAACACUAACUGGAGGACCGAACCGACUAAUGUUGAAAAAUUAGCGGAUGACUUGUGGCUGGGGGUGAAAGGCCAAUCAAACCGGGAGAUAGCUGGUUCUCCCCGAAAGCUAUUUAGGUAGCGCCUCGUGAAUUCAUCUCCGGGGGUAGAGCACUGUUUCGGCAAGGGGGUCAUCCCGACUUACCAACCCGAUGCAAACUGCGAAUACCGGAGAAUGUUAUCACGGGAGACACACGGCGGGUGCUAA